rnacentral:rRNA from 1 species
UGGGGAAUAUUGCACAAUGGGCGCAAGCCUGAUGCAGCCAUGCCGCGUGUGUGAAGAAGGCCUUCGGGUUGUAAAGCACUUUCAGCGAGGAGGAAGGUGGUGAGCUUAAUACGCUCAUCAAUUGACGUUACUCGCAGAAGAAGCACCGGCUAACUCCGUGCCAGCAGCCGCGGUAAUACGGAGGGUGCAAGCGUUAAUCGGAAUUACUGGGCGUAAAGCGCACGCAGGCGGUUUGUUAAGUCAGAUGUGAAAUCCCCGGGCUCAACCUGGGAACUGCAUUUGAAACUGGCAAGCUAGAGUCUCGUAGAGGGGGGUAGAAUUCCAGGUGUAGCGGUGAAAUGCGUAGAGAUCUGGAGGAAUACCGGUGGCGAAGGCGGCCCCCCUGGACGAAGACUGACGCUCAGGUGCGAAAGCGUGGGGCAGCAAACAGGAUUAGAUACCCUGGUAGUCCACGCUGUAAAACGAUGUCGAUUUGGAGGUUGUGCCCUUGAGGCGUGGNUUCCGGAGCUAACG